GCGGAGGGAUCAUUACACAAAUAUGAAGGCGGGCUGGAACCUCUCGGGGUUACAGCCUUGCUGAAUUAUUCACCCUUGUCUUUUGCGUACUUCUUGUUUCCUUGGUGGGUUCGCCCACCACUAGGACAAACAUAAACCUUUUGUAAUUGCAAUCAGCGUCAGUAACAAAUUAAUAAUUACAACUUUCAACAACGGAUCUCUUGGUUCUGGCAUCGAUGAAGAACGCAGCGAAAUGCGAUAAGUAGUGUGAAUUGCAGAAUUCAGUGAAUCAUCGAAUCUUUGAACGCACAUUGCGCCCUUUGGUAUUCCAAAGGGCAUGCCUGUUCGAGCGUCAUUUGUACCCUCAAGCUUUGCUUGGUGUUGGGCGUCUUGUCUCUAGCUUUGCUGGAGACUCGCCUUAAAGUAAUUGGCAGCCGGCCUACUGGUUUCGGAGCGCAGCACAAGUCGCACUCUCUAUCAGCAAAGGUCUAGCAUCCAUUAAGCCUUUUUUUCAACUUUUGACCUCGGAUCAGGUAGGGAUACCCGCUGAACUUAAGCAUAUCAAUAAGCGGAGGAAAU
rnacentral:rRNA from 1 species